AAUUUGAGGGGGUAAUUUAAUAAGUAUAAAUAAUUAAUAAAAAAAAUUUUAUCGUUAAAAAUAUAUAAUGGGGGUUAAAGUAUUUUUAAUAGAAAAGGAUUUAAAAUUUUAUAGUAUAGGAGUAAUGUAAAUAAAAAUUUAAAUAAUUGAAAUAUAAAAUUAAUAGAAAAGUAGAUUUAAUUUGUUGUAUCUUGUGUAUCAGAGUUUAUUUAAUAAAAUUUUUAUUUAAAAAAUUCUCGAAUUUAAAAGAGUUAAUUAAUUAAAAAAGUUAAUGUUGAAUAAUUAUUUUAAAUAAUUAAUUAGAAAUGAGAUGUUAAUCGUUUUUAAAUAUAUCUAGUUUUUUUAGAAAAAAAUUUAAUUUUAAAUUUGAAUAAUUUUUUAAUUAAUUGUUUAUUAAUCAAAAAAAAUUUAAAAUUUAAUAUAUUAAGGGAUAAGCUUUAAAUUAAAAAUUUAUAAUAAUUUUUUUUUUAAUUAAAAUUUUUAAUAUUUAUAUUGUUUAAAAAUUAUAAUUUUUUAUAAAAAAUUUUAGUUAAAUUAAAAUUUAAAAAUAAAAUUUAAUUUUUUAUAAAAAAAUUAUUUUUAAUUAUUAAAAAUAAAAAAUAAUGAUAAAAUUAGUAUAUUACAGUAAAAAAUAAUAAAUUUAAUAAAAAUUAAAUUAAAGGAAUUCGGCAAAAAUUUAUAUUCACUUGUUUAUCAAAAACAUGUCUUUUUGAUUAAUAAUUUAAAGUCUAAUCUGCCCACUGAUAAGUAUUAAAGGGCUGCAGUAUAUUGACUGUACAAAGGUAGCAUAAUCAUUAGUCUUUUAAUUGAAGACUUGUAUGAAAGAUUUGAUGAAAUAUAAACUGUCUCUAAUUUAUUAGUAAAAAUUAAUAAUUUAGUAAAAAAGCUAAAAUAAAAUUAAAAGACGAGAAGACCCUAUAGAGUUUUAUAUUUAAUUAAAUUUUAAUUAAAUAUAAAAUUAAUUAUUAAUAUUUGAUUAAAUAUUUUAUUGGGGUGAUAAAAAAAUUAAAUAAACUUUUUAUAAAAAUAUACAUAGAUAAAUGAAUAAUUGAUCCAUAAUUUAUGAUUACAAGAAAAAAUUACCUUAGGGAUAACAGCGUAAUAUUUUUUUUUAGUACAAAUAAAAAAGAAAGUUUGCGACCUCGAUGUUGGAUUAAGAUAAAAAUUAAAUGCAAAAGUUUAAAUUUUUGAUCUGUUCGAUCAUUAAAAUCUUACAUGAUCUGAGUUCAAACCGGUGUAAGCCAGGUUGGUUUCUAUCUUUAGUAAAUUAUAAUAUUUUA
rnacentral:rRNA from 1 species